rnacentral:misc_RNA from 1 species
GAUGAAGAACGCAGCGAAAUGCGACAAGUAAUGUGAAUUGCAGAAUUCCGUGAAUCAUCGAAUCUUUGAACGCACAUUGCGCCCGCCAGCACUCUGGCGGGCAUGCCUGUCCGAGCGUCAUUUCAACCCUCGCGCCGUCCCUCCAGGGGGCUCGGCGCGGUGUUGGGGGACACGGCCCCGGCCGCCCCCGAAAUGCAGUGGCGACCCCGCCGCGGCCCCUCCAGCGCAGUAAGCACGCUCGCUACGGGAGGCCCGGUGGACGCGUCCGCCGUAAAACGCCCAACUCUUCAGAAGUUGACCUCGGAUCAGGUAGGGAUACCCGCUGAACUUAAGCAUAUCAAUAAGCGGAGGA